GACAAGAGGUACAAGCCAUAUUGCGUCACAAUGCCACUGUCGCCAACCUGCUGUGCAAAGACGGAGAGGUAGCCGGCCUGCCAUACAUUCCUACAGGCCAUCAAGCCACCCUUGCGCAGCCACUGCUGCCAGACAUGCCGAACAGGUGCUAACAGCAGCCACAGCGCGCAGCAACAGACGAUUUAUCUUGAUCUGUGCGACACCAGUGCAUUGUGUUCUUCUCGGAAAACUGAGGUUUUUGGAAAAAAUAUUGAACCCUCAAAGAGUUAAACUGGACUGCCGAGUACAACUCUAAUAAUCAAAAAUGGCCGUACUGAACGUCUGAGGCCUGGCAUGUUAACACCCCUAAUUUUGACCUCUCUGCUUAUCUGUGUCCCGAGUGACCUGUUGAAAGGAUGCUUUUCAUAGCUCAGUUUCUUACAAGUGAACGUCCUUCAAUUCGUGAGUACUCCGUGGCACGUGACCCGGAAGCAGGCAGACCAGAAGGGACCAGUAGAGACUGCAAGACAUCCCUCCAGGGCCUCACAUCAUGUCAUCCAAAUUCCAAUACUGAAUCAGACAGAUCAAGCCCGGCCUCUCCUGUAGCCUGCAGUCUUCCAGGAUCUGGCUACUCCGUGGCCUGAGAGUACGAAAUAAUGAGAACAAGCUGCUGCUGCCUGAGCCAUGAGUGUGGAAGGAACGUGGGGUCCAGGAUUAUCCCAUACAUCAGUCAGCUAAUCCCAGGAUCGUAGGUCAUAUUGCUUAACAGCUAAAGUAAAGUAAAGACUGUAAAUCACACCAGGGACCCCCUGCAUUACUCUAGAAAGACAGAUACAAUGCCGCCAUAAAGUCCUGGACGCCUGAAACACACGUUGCCAUUUCCACAUUCCAUCCCUUUCUCUGGUCCCACUGUGAUGACGUCAUACCUCCCACACAACACUUCGCUUCCCUUCCAGCAUUCCAUUCAAUUUCCGGUCCCUCAUUAUUUAAGUUCCCCCUGCAACUGAGACUGUGAGAUGUAAUGACUGGUUGUCAGAGCAUUGAGAGUGACAUAAAAGUGUUGGAUAUUUUCUUUUGUUUUGUACAGUAUAUGGGGCCAGAAACCCCAAACGUUUAUCUGUUUUUGUCUCCUUAUUACACAGUUUGAUUUUUUUUGUCUUAGAUGGCACAUUGCUGUUAUUGUCUGCGCUUUGGAUGUCUAAGAUGAUGGGCUGGGACUUCUAGAUGCACUCUUCUUGACUGACCUCAAUCCUCGGGUAUUAAAUUUACACCAGUAUUACAGCUUUGAAGAUUUCCUGUUAAAUUCUUUAUGAAAGUUCUUACAUUUUCACCCUUUAGUAACACCUUUUGCUAGAAAUAAGAAAACAUAAUAAAGCCAAAUUAUACAGUGUGUCUAAAGAGUAUUCAUCACCUUGCAAUUUU